CAAUAGCGUAUAUUAAAGUUGUUGCAGUUAGAACGCUCGUAGUCGGAUUUCGGGGCGGGCCGACCGGUCUGCCGAUGGGUACGCACUGGUCGGCGCGUCCUUCCUUCCGGAGACUGUUCCUACUCUUAACUGAGCGGGGGCGGGAGACGGAUCGUUUACUUUGAAAAAAUCAGAGUGUUUCAAGCAGGCAGCUCGCUCUUGCAUGGAUUAGCAUGGGAUAAUGAAAUAGGACUUUGGUGCUAUUUUGUUGGUUUCGAACACCGAAGUAAUGAUUAAAAGGGACAGUCAGGGGCACUCGUAUUCCGCCGAGAGAGGUGAAAUUCUCAGACCAGCGGAAGACGAACUACUGCGAAAGCAUUUGCCAGGGAUGUUUUCACUGA
rnacentral:rRNA from 1 species